UGGGGUAUCGCCAAGCGGUAAGGCAAAUGGCUCUGACCCAUUCAUUCCAAGGUUCGAAUCCUUGUACCCCAG
rnacentral:tRNA from 1 species